rnacentral:rRNA from 1 species
UACGGAGAGUGCAAACGUUGUUCGGAUUCACUGGGCGUAAAGGGCACGUAGGCGGCUCGGCAAAUCGGUCGUGGAAUCCCGGCGCUUAACGUCGGAACGGCGGCCGAAAAUACCGGGCUCGAGGGCGUGAGGGGUCACUGGAACUCCUGGUGAAGCGGUGAAAUGCGUAGAUAUCAAGAGGAACACCUGCGGCGAAGGCGGGUUGCUGGGCCGACACUGACGCUGAAGCGCGAAAGCUAGGGGAGCGAACGGG